rnacentral:pre_miRNA from 1 species
AGGGGAAUUGCUAGAUCGUAUGGCAAAUUUGUGUUUAACUUUUUAAGAAAUUACAAACUAUUUUCCAAAGUGGUUGUGCCAUUUUAUAUUCCCACCAGCAAU